rnacentral:rRNA from 1 species
GACGAACGCUGGCGGCGUGCUUAACACAUGCAAGUCAAACGGAAAGGCCCUGCUUUUGUGGGGUGCUCGAGUGGCGAACGGGUGAGUAACACGUGAGUAACCUGCCCUUGACUUUGGGAUAACUUCAGGAAACUGGGGCUAAUACCGGAUAGGAGCUCCUGCUGCAUGGUGGGGGUUGGAAAGUUUCGGCGGUUGGGGAUGGACUCGCGGCUUAUCAGCUUGUUGGUGGGGUAGUGGCUUACCAAGGCUUUGACGGGUAGCCGGCCUGAGAGGGUGACCGGCCACAUUGGGACUGAGAUACGGCCCAGACUACUACGGGAGGCAGCAGUGGGGAAUAUUGCACAAUGGGCGGAAGCCUGAUGCAGCAACGCCGCGUGCGGGAUGACGGCCUUCGGGUUGUAAACCGCUUUCGCCUGUGACGAAGCGUGAGUGACGGUAAUGGGUAAAGAAGCACCGGCUAACUACGUG